rnacentral:rRNA from 1 species
UAGGGAAUCUUCCACAAUGGACGCAAGUCUGAUGGAGCAACGCCGCGUGAGUGAAGAAGGGUUUCGGCUCGUAAAACUCUGUUGUUAAAGAAGAACGUGGGUAAGAGUAACUGUUUACCCAGUGACGGUAUUUAACCAGAAAGCCACGGCUAACUACGUGCCAA